AUUCUAUAUCAUUGACUAUAUAGAUAUAUAUUCCUACUUUUCGUUUUUAUUAAAAGAGUUUCGUAGAUAUAAAUAUAAAAAAUAUAGUCAAUCUAACAUCUAUGAUUCAUAAAUAUAAAUAUAAAAAUAUAGUAUAUUUAACAUCUAUGAUUAUAAAGUAAACAAUAAAUAAAUGUUAAACGAAUAUAAUUAUCACAAUUUAUUACUGCAUACCUUCACAUAAAUAUCAAUUUAGAAAAAAUCUUGUUUAAAUAAAUUCGAAAGGGAUAUUAAAUUCUAUGUUAUUCUAAAACUAAUCAAUCGGGUUAUAAUUUUUAUAUUUUAAUAGAAUAUAAAAAAUACAAUAAACAAAAAAAAUAUGUCAAAUCAAAUUGCUACUAUUUUCAAGUUUUUUUAAUAAAUACAAUUUUAUCCAAAUUUGUACUAAUAAUAUAAUUAACCACCCAGACAGUAUUGUAAGAGAUAAAUAUAUAACAAAAUUUAUUUAUUAAAUUAAGUAGUAAAACUAAGUUUCAUCAAAAUAUAUACAGCAUUGUUAUAUUAAGCUAUGUAGCUGUUGCAAUGAGACAUGUGAUUUUAAAUAAAGCAACUUUUUACGAAAUGGAUUAUAAUAUUAGCAUCCUAACUUUAUCUAUGGAUUACUUCCGAUUGAACAUUCCAGAGUAACGGCAGAGAUGUCUUAUUUACCUGCAGGUGAUAUGGCUUGGUCAGAGGGUGUGUUGUCCAUUCGUGACUUGCACAGCGAUUCUUACAACCAGCACACUAUCAAUCAAGUAUAUCAAUGCGGAUAGCGCAAGAAGACGGUAUUGAUCGUCUGUCGGCUUAGGCGAGAGAGAGAUAGGGUUUUGAAAGAAUUGUUUUUUUUCCCCAAGAUAUUAGGCAAGAGAUCGAUGAUAUAUCUUUUUAAAGGAAACAUUUGUUAAGCUUGUGAAUGCUGGUUUAUAUCAACUUUCCGUUUCACAUAAAGAUUUAUGGAAAUAUGGAUUUUGUAAUGAUUUCGUGUUAAUGCUGUGAUCGUGUUUCCAUAAAUACAAAAAUUUAUUUAUGAAUGUUGACGUUGGGCAAAUCAUUUGGGAAGCUGUACCUAUUUGUUCUUCUUCUUAACAACAACGCCAAGAACGUGAUAUCAUCGAAGGAUACCGUGUGUUGCCUUUGAUCCAUCGCGAAAAUCAUUCUAAAGUUUCUGUAUGCAUUAUUCAAAAUUUAAUAACAGAUGAAGACAAGUGUCAUAGUGUAGGCUUCUAGAGUAAAACCAUUGUCGUAUGAGAGCAAAACCUUCUGUUUAUACAUAAGAAUAUGUAAGGAACGUGAAGUAA